GGCCUAACACAUGCAAGUCGAGCGGUAACACAGGGAGCUUGCUCCUGGGUGACGAGCGGCGGACGGGUGAGUAAUGUCUGGGAAACUGCCUGAUGGAGGGGGAUAACUACUGGAAACGGUAGCUAAUACCGCAUAAUGUCGCAAGACCAAAGAGGGGGACCUUCGGGCCUCUUGCCAUCAGAUGUGCCCAGAUGGGAUUAGCUAGUAGGUGGGGUAACGGCUCACCUAGGCGACGAUCCCUAGCUGGUCUGAGAGGAUGACCAGCCACACUGGAACUGAGACACGGUCCAGACUCCUACGGGAGGCAGCAGUGGGGAAUAUUGCACAAUGGGCGCAAGCCUGAUGCAGCCAUGCCGCGUGUAUGAAGAAGGCCUUCGGGUUGUAAAGUACUUUCAGCGGGGAGGAAGGUGUUGUGGUUAAUAACCUCAGCAAUUGACGUUACCCGCAGAAGAAGCACCGGCUAACUCCGUGCCAGCAGCCGCGGUAAUACGGAGGGUGCAAGCGUUAAUCGGAAUUACUGGGCGUAAAGCGCACGCAGGCGGUCUGUCAAGUCGGAUGUGAAAUCCCCGGGCUCAACCUGGGAACUGCAUUCGAAACUGGCAGGCUAGAGUCUUGUAGAGGGGGGUAGAAUUCCAGGUGUAGCGGUGAAAUGCGUAGAGAUCUGGAGGAAUACCGGUGGCGAAGGCGGCCCCCUGGACAAAGACUGACGCUCAGGUGCGAAAGCGUGGGGAGCAAACA
rnacentral:rRNA from 1 species